rnacentral:rRNA from 1 species
ACGUCAAGUCCUCAUGGCCCUUAUGGGUAGGGCUUCACACGUCAUACAAUGGUCGGUACAGAGGGUUGCCAAGCCGCGAGGUGGAGCCAAUCCCAGAAAACCGAUCGUAGUCCGGAUCGCAGUCUGCAACUCGACUGCGUGAAGUCGGAAUCGCUAGUAAUCGCGGAUCAGAAUGCCGCGGUGAAUACGUUCCCGGGUCUUGUACACACCGCCCGUCACACCAUGGGAGUGGGUUCUACCAGAAGUGGCUAGUCUAACCGCAAGGAGGACGGUCACCACGGUAGGAUUCAUGACUGGGGUGAAGUCGUAACAAGGUAGCCGUAUCGGAAGGUGCGGCUGGAUCACCUCCUUUCUA